rnacentral:rRNA from 1 species
GAUGAACGCUGGCGGCGUGCCUAAUACAUGCGAGUCGAGCGAACGGACGAGAAGCUUGCUUCUCUGAUGUUAGCGGCGGACGGGUGAGUAACACGUGGAUAACCUACCUAUAAGACUGGGAUAACUUCGGGAAACCGGAGCUAAUACCGGAUGAUAUUUUGAACCGCAUGGUUCAAAAGUGAAAGACGGUCUUGCUGUCACUUAUAGAUGGAUCCGCGCUGCAUUAGCUAGUUGGUAAGGUAACGGCUUACCAAGGCAACGAUGCAUAGCCGACCUGAGAGGGUGAUCGGCCACACUGGAACUGAGACACGGUCCAGACUCCUACGGGAGGCAGCGGUAGGGAAUCUUCCGCAAUGGGCGAAAGCCUGACGGAGCAACGCCGCGUGAGUGAUGAAGGUCUUCGGAUCGUAAAACUCUGUUAUUAGGGAAGAACAUAUGUGUAAGUAACUGUGCACAUCUUGACGGUACCUAAUCAGAAAGCCACGGCUAACUACGUG